rnacentral:rRNA from 1 species
CCUACGGGGAGCAGCAGUAGGGAAUAUUGCUCAAUGGGGGAAACCCUGACGCAGCAACGCCGCGUGGUGGAUGAAGGUUUUCGGAUUGUAAACUCCUUUUGUUAGAGAAGAUAAUGACGGUAUCUAACGAAUAAGCACCGGCUAACUCCGUGCCCGCAGCCGCGGUAAUACGGAGGGUGCAAGCGUUAGUCGGAAUCCCUGGGCGUAAAGAGCGUGUAGGCGGGAUAGCAAGUCAGAUGUGAAAUCCUAUGGCUUAACCAUAGGACGGCAUUUGAAACUGUUAUUCUAGAGUAUGGGAGAGGUAGGUGGAAUUCUUGGUGUAGGGGUAAAAUGCGUAGAGAUCAAGAGGAAUACUCAUUGCGAAGGCGACCUGCUAGAACAUAACUGACGCUGAGGCGCGAAAGCGUGGGGAGCAAACAGGAUUAGAUACCCCUGUAGUC